GCGAUGGAUGUGGAUACCCCGAGCGGCACCAACAGCGGCGCGGGCAAGAAGCGCUUUGAAGUGAAAAAGGUUGGGUCUCGCCAGCGCCUUCCUCAGGGAAGCUAGAGAGGCGCGGAUCUGGCUGGCAGGCCCGAGGAUGGUCGAGGCGCGGAUGGAAUGCAGUAGCCCUCUGGGCCUGGGAUAUUGUGGUUGAUAACUGUGCCAUCUGCAGGAACCACAUUAUGGAUCUUUGCAUAGAAUGUCAAGCUAACCAGGCGUCCGCUACUUCAGAAGAGUGUACUGUCGCAUGGGGAGUCUGUAACCAUGCUUUUCACUUCCACUGCAUCUCUCGCUGGCUCAAAACACGACAGGUGUGUCCAUUGGACAACAGAGAGUGGGAAUUCCAAAAGUAUGGGCACUAGGAAAAGACUUCUUCCAUCAAGCUUAAUUGUUUUGUUAUUCAUUUAAUGACUUUCCCUGCUGUUACCUAAUUACAAAUUGGAUGGAACUGUGUUUUUUUCUGCUUUGUUUUUUCAGUUUGCUGUUUCUGUAGCCAUAUUGUAUUCUGUGUCAAAUAAAGUCCAGUUGGAUUCUGG
rnacentral:lncRNA from 1 species